rnacentral:pre_miRNA from 1 species
ACGCCAAGGGUAAGUGACCCAGUUGAGCGGACUGAAUCCGAAUUGCGACGCUCGAUUGAUCGUGACUUUGCAGCGUA